GAUGAACGCUAGCUACAGGCUUAACACAUGCAAGUCGAGGGGAAACGAUAUUGGAAGCUUGCUUCCGAUAGGCGUCGACCGGCGCACGGGUGAGUAACGCGUAUCCAACCUGCCCAUCACUUGGGGAUAACCUUGCGAAAGUAAGACUAAUACCCAAUGAUAUUUAUAGAAGGCAUCCGAAAUGAAUUAAAGAUUUAUCGGUGAUGGAUGGGGAUGCGUCUGAUUAGCUUGUUGGCGGGGUAACGGCCCACCAAGGCGACGAUCAGUAGGGGUUCUGAGAGGAAGGUCCCCCACAUUGGAACUGAGACACGGUCCAAACUCCUACGGGAGGCAGCAGUGAGGAAUAUUGGUCAAUGGGCGAGAGCCUGAACCAGCCAAGUAGCGUGCAGGAUGACGGCCCUAUGGGUUGUAAACUGCUUUUAUAGGGGAAUAAAGUGAGCCACGUGUGGUUUUUUGCAUGUACCCUAUGAAUAAGGACCGGCUAAUUCCGUGCCAACAGCCGCCGCCGUAA
rnacentral:rRNA from 1 species